rnacentral:rRNA from 1 species
CCUACGGGAGGCAGCAGCAAGGAAUUUUCCACAAUGGGCGCAAGCCUGAUGGAGCAACGCCGCGUGGGGGAUGACGCAUUUCGGUGUGUAAACCCCUUUUCGAGGGGACGAAGGCAAUGACGGUACCCUCGGAAGAAGGAUCGGCUAACUACGUGCCAGCAGCCGCGGUAAGACGUAGGAUCCGAGCGUUGUCCGGAGUUACUGGGCGUAAAGCGCGCGCAGGCGGUCAUGCGCAUCGGCGGUGAAAGCCCCCCGCUCAACGGGGGAGGGUCCGUCGAGAUGGUGUGACUGGAGGCAGGGAGAGGCCAGUGGAAUUCCGGGUGUAGUGGUGAAAUGCGUAGAGAUCCGGAGGAACACCAGUGGCGAAGGCGGCUGGCUGGACCUGACCUGACGCUGAGGCGCGAAGGCGUGGGGAGCGAACGGGAUUAGAUACCCCAGUA